UGGUUCUUCAGCCCUCUUUGGAACAACAGGAACACAGGAGAAGAUGCAAAUAACCUAUUGAGUUCUGAUAAUAAAUCUCUCUUGUUGCACUCUUAUCUCUUUUACUACAUUAACCUUCUUUCCUCCAAACACUCUCAAGUCAAAUGUUAAGGCAUCUGAUCUCAUAAAGAGGACAUCAAAUUCGAGGCCUAAAUCUCUUGGAAUCAUGCUCGAGAUAAUUACUAAACACUCCACUAA
rnacentral:lncRNA from 1 species